rnacentral:rRNA from 2 species
UCUGGUAUUGAUUGGUGCUUGCAUCAUGAUUUACAUUUGAGUGAGUGGCGAACUGGUGAGUAACACGUGGGAAACCUGCCCAGAAGCGGGGGAUAACACCUGGAAACAGAUGCUAAUACCGCAUAACAACUUGGACCGCAUGGUCCGAGUUUGAAAGAUGGCUUCGGCUAUCACUUUUGGAUGGUCCCGCGGCGUAUUAGCUAGAUGGUGGGGUAACGGCUCACCAUGGCAAUGAUACGUAGCCGACCUGAGAGGGUAAUCGGCCACAUUGGGACUGAGACACGGCCCAAACUCCUACGGGAGGCAGCAGUAGGGAAUCUUCCACAAUGGACGAAAGUCUGAUGGAGCAACGCCGCGUGAGUGAAGAAGGGUUUCGGCUCGUAAAACUCUGUUGUUAAAGAAGAACAUAUCUGAGAGUAACUGUUCAGGUAUUGACGGUAUUUAACCAGAAAGCCACGGCUAACUACGUGCCAGCAGCCGCGGUAAUACGUAGGUGGCAAGCGUUGUCCGGAUUUAUUGGGCGUAAAGCGAGCGCAGGCGGUUUUUUAAGUCUGAUGUGAAAGCCUUCGGCUCAACCGAAGAAGUGCAUCGGAAACUGGGAAACUUGAGUGCAGAAGAGGACAGUGGAACUCCAUGUGUAGCGGUGAAAUGCGUAGAUAUAUGGAAGAACACCAGUGGCGAAGGCGGCUGUCUGGUCUGUAACUGACGCUG